GGUAUCUGCUCAGUGGUAAAGCACUUGCCUAGCAUGCAUGAGGCUCUGGGUUCAAUCUCCAUCACCA
rnacentral:tRNA from 1 species